CUUAAUUUCAAACCAAAUAAAACAUUAGAAAGAAUGCUUAUAAACAAUAAGGACAAAAUAAAUAAACUGGACGACAAUGGUGUGUACAUACUAGAGUGCGACACUUGUAAAGCAGCGUACAUUGGAGAAACAGGCAGAAGCCUUAGAAAAAGAAUAAGAGAACAUAAACACAAAAAUAACUCCAACUUCGGAAAUCACUUAACAUUUAACUCAAAACAUGAAUUUAACGAAGAUAAAAAUUCCAGAAUCCUUCAUCAUAUCAAUAAAAGUUACUAUUUAGAAAUAAUGGAAAACUAUGAAAUUAAUAAAUUCCUCAACAACUGCCCUGAUGUAACAUGCCUAAACGAACAAAUUAUACCUACAAGAAGACCACUAUAUACCUAUCUCAAACAACCAUACACACCUCCACGAAAACCUCCCGAACUCUAAAAAUAGCUGCUCUCUCUGUACCAUUAUAUUUUUCAGUGUGUUUGAUGUAGGGAGUUGAUAUGUUUAUGUUGUAAUACCUCAUUUUAACCUGUUGAAAAUCAACCUAUUCAAAACAAGAAAGUUUAAAUUCAAUACACGACAAUCACAUUUGACAGAUUACCAACAUUAAAAUAGAAAAUAUACCAUUGACAGUUUCAACAUAACCUAAAAUAUAAUAAAAAGUGAUGUAUGAUAGCACAUGUUUAGAGAUUAACAUUUUAAUAGUGAAUUAAUUCAAUAAAGUAUCACAUACAUGUUUAGUUGUUCAAAAAAUUGACGAACUCCUGAAGAUGCUCCGAAAGGAGCGAAACCGGUAGAGUGAUAAUAAACACAUUUCACCUUUAA